rnacentral:rRNA from 1 species
CGAUGAACCUCACUUCGGGAGGGGAUUAGUGGCGAACGGGUGAGUAACACGUGGGCAAUCUGCCCUGCACUCUGGGACAAGCCCUGGAAACGGGGUCUAAUACCGGAUAUGAGCCUGGGAGGCAUCUCCCGGGUUGUAAAGCUCCGGCGGUGCAGGAUGAGCCCGCGGCCUAUCAGCUUGUUGGUGAGGUAACGGCUCACCAAGGCGACGACGGGUAGCCGGCCUGAGAGGGCGACCGGCCACACUGGGACUGAGACACGGCCCAGACUCCUACGGGAGGCAGCAGUGGGGAAUAUUGCACAAUGGGCGCAAGCCUGAUGCAGCGACGCCGCGUGAGGGAUGACGGCCUUCGGGUUGUAAACCUCUUUCAGCAGGGAAGAAGCGAAAGUGACGGUACCUGCAGAAGAAGCGCCGGCUAACUACGUGCCAGCAGCCGCGGUAAUACGUAGGGCGCAAGCGUUGUCCGGAAUUAUUGGGCGUAAAGAGCUCGUAGGCGGCUUGUCACGUCGGAUGUGAAAGCCCGGGGCUUAACCCCGGGUCUGCAUUCGAUACGGGCAGGCUAGAGUUCGGUAGGGGAGAUCGGAAUUCCUGGUGUAGCGGUGAAAUGCGCAGAUAUCAGGAGGAACACCGGUGGCGAAGGCGGAUCUCUGGGCCGAUACUGACGCUGAGGAGCGAAAGCGUGGGGAGCGAACAGGAUUAGAUACCCUGGUAGUCCACGCCGUAAACGGUGGGCACUAGGUGUGGGCAACAUUCCACGUUGUCCGUGCCGCAGCUAACGCAUUAAGUGCCCCGCCUGGGGAGUACGGCC